UCUGUCGCGCUGGAAAUUGCUUCUGGCGGCAGGGAUUCACCAUUCCAUGAAAACCAACCACCAAAAUGAUCGUCUCACUCUCCUCUCCUCAAGUCUAUCAUCAAUUUCUUCAUAACCCCCGCCAAUUUUCGAAAUCGAGCUAAUAAAGCUAAGAACCCUAGGUCCUCAAAAUAGAAUUAAAUGGCGAUGAUGCAUAAUUCAGAUUCAAGAUCUUAGGGUUAUCGAUCCUUAUAAUUAAUACCAUAAGUUGGUAACAAAUUUUAAGGGAAAUCAAGAGAAAUUAAAUGAGGGGAGCCUACCUUCAGAGCAGUGACUUGCUCUAACAGAUGUUGAGAGGCUUUAAGAAGAAUAUGCAGAGAAAUC
rnacentral:lncRNA from 1 species